rnacentral:rRNA from 1 species
UACAGAGGGGGCAAGCGUUAUUCGGAAUUAUUGGGCGUAAAGGGCGCGUAGGCGGCUUGGCAAGUGGAAGGUGAAAUCCCUCGGCUUAACCGAGGAACUGCCCUCCAAACUGCUUCGCUUGAGACCGGGAGAGGUGAGUGGAAUUCCCAGUGUAGCGGUGAAAUGCGUAGAUAUUGGGAGGAACACCAGUGGCGAAGGCGGCUCACUGGACCGGUACUGACGCUGAUGCACGAAAGCUAGGGGAGCAAACAGG